rnacentral:rRNA from 1 species
GAUGAACGCUGGCGGCGUGCCUAACACAUGCAAGUCGAACGAACAGACGAUGAGCUUGCGCCUCUGACGUGAGCGGCGGGCGGGUGAGUAACGCGUGUAUAACCCACCUAUCUGUCGGGGAUAAUCUCGGGAAACCGGAUCUAAUACCAGAGGAUAUAUUGAACCGCGGGGGGCGAUAGUGAAUUACGGCUUUUCGGGCAGGUAUAGAGGGAUCCGCGCUGCAUGAGGUGGUUGGUAAGUUAACAGGUUACCAAGGCUACGAGGCGUAGCCGACCUGAGAGAGUGAUCGCCCACACUGGAACUGAGCCACGGUCCAGACUCCUACGGGACGCAGCAGUAGGGAAUCUUAGGCAACGGGCGAAAGCCUGGCGCAGCAACCCCGCGUCAGUGAUGACGGUCCUGGGAGCGUAAAGACCGGUUACUGGGGAAGAACAACUGUCUCCGUAGACAAGGCGGUAUUGACGGUACCUAAUCAGAAAGCACCGGCUAACUACGUG